rnacentral:rRNA from 1 species
UACGGGGGGGGUAAGCGUUGUUCGGAAUUACUGGGCGUAAAGGGCUCGUAGGCGGCCAACUAAGUCAUACGUGAAAUCCCUCAGCUUAACUGGGGAACUGCGUGUGAUACUGGAUGGCUUGGAUUUGGGAGAGGGAUGCGGAAUUCCAGGUGUAGCGGUGAAAUGCGUAGAUAUCAGGAGGAACACCUGUGGUGUAGACAGCUUACUGGACCACUUCUGACGCUGAGACACGAAAGCGUGGGUAGCAAACAGG